ACUCGAAACCAGGUGAGCUAAGCAUGACCAGGCUGAAACCCCCGUGACAGGGGGUGGAGGGCCGAACCGGUGCCUGCUGAAACAGUCUCGGAUGAGUUGUGUUUAGGAGUGAAAAGCUAACCGAACCUGGAGAUAGCUAGUUCUCCCCGAAAUGUAUUGAGGUACAGCCUCGGGUGAUGACCAUGCCGUGUAGAGCACUGACAAGGCUCGGGGGCCUACCAGCCUACCAACCCUUAUCAAACUCCGAAGCGACAUGCGUUUAACCCGGGAGUGAGGCUGCGAGAGCUAACUUCCGUAGCCGAGAGGGAAACAACCCAGACCGCCAGCUAAGGUCCCCAAAAUUGGCUAAGUGGGAAACGAAGUGGGAAGGCUAAAACAGUCAGGAUGUUGGCUUAGAAGCAGCCAUCAUUUAAAGAAAGCGUAAUAGCUCACUGAUCGAGUCGUCCUGCGCGGAAGAUGUAACGGGGCUAAGCCAGUCACCGAAGCUGCGGAUAUCCGCAAGGAUAUGGUAGGAGAGCGUUCUGUAAGCCUGCGAAGGUGUCUUGUAAAGGAUGCUGGAGGUAUCAGAAGUGCGAAUGCUGACAUGAGUAGCGAUAAUGCGGGUGAAAAGCCCGCACGCCGUAAGCCCAAGGUUUCCUGUUCAACGUUCAUCGGAGCAGGGUGAGUCGGCCCCUAAGGCGAGGCAGAGAUGCGUAGCUGAUGGGAAGCAGGUUAAUAUUCCUGCACCGUCGUAUGAUGCGAUGGGGGGACGGAUCGCGGAAGGUUGUCUAGCUGUUGGAAUAGCUAGUUUUUGACUCAUAGAAGGUGCUUAGGCAAAUCCGGGCACAGGAUUCAAGGGGUCGAGACGAGCGCUCAUGUAGCGCGAAGCAAUCGGAAGUGGUUCCAAGAAAAGCCUCUAAGCUUCAGUCAUACGAGACCGUACCGCAAACCGACACAGGUGGGCGAGAUGAGUAUUCUAAGGCGCUUGAGAGAACUCGGGAGAAGGAACUCGGCAAAUUGGUACCGUAACUUCGGGAAAAGGUACGCCCCGGUAGCUUGACCACUUUACUGUGGAAGGGCGAAAGGGUUGCAAUAAACUGGUGGCUGCGACUGUUUAAUAAAAACACAGCACUCUGCAAACACGAAAGUGGACGUAUAGGGUGUGACGCCUGCCCGGUGCUGGAAGAUUAAAUGAUGGGGUGCAAGCUCUUGAUUGAAGUCCCAGUAAACGGCGGCCGUAACUAUAACGGUCCUAAGGUAGCGAAAUUCCUUGUCGGGUAAGUUCCGACCUGCACGAAUGGCGUAACGAUGGCCACACUGUCUCCUCCCGAGACUCAGCGAAGUUGAAAUGUUUGUGAUGAUGCAAUCUACCCGCGGCUAGACGGAAAGACCCCAUGAACCUUUACUGUAGCUUUGCAUUGGACUUUGAACCAAUCUGUGUAGGAUAGGUGGGAGGCUUUGAAGCGGGGACGCCAGUUCUCGUGGAGCCAUCCUUGAAAUACCACCCUGGUUUGUUUGAGGUUCUAACCUUGGUCCGUUAUCCGGAUCGGGGACAGUGCAUGGUAGGCAGUUUGACUGGGGCGGUCUCCUCCUAAAGAGUAACGGAGGAGUACGAAGGUGCGCUCAGCGUGGUCGGAAAUCACGCGUAGAGUAUAAAGGCAAAAGCGCGCUUAACUGCGAGACCCACAAGUCGAGCAGGUACGAAAGUAGGUCUUAGUGAUCCGGUGGUUCUGUAUGGAAGGGCCAUCGCUCAACGGAUAAAAGGUACUCUGGGGAUAACAGGCUGAUUCCUCCCAAGAGUUCAUAUCGACGGGGGAGUUUGGCACCUCGAUGUCGGCUCAUCACAUCCUGGGGCUGUAGCCGGUCCCAAGGGUAUGGCUGUUCGCCAUUUAAAGUGGUACGUGAGCUGGGUUUAAAACGUCGUGAGACAGUUUGGUCCCUAUCUGCCGUGGGCGUUGGAAAUUUGAAGGGGGCUGCUCCUAGUACGAGAGGACCGGAGUGGACGAACCUCUGGUGUA
rnacentral:rRNA from 1 species